UACAGAGGGGGCAAGCGUUGUUCGGAAUUACUGGGCGUAAAGGGCGCGUAGGCGGCCUGUUAAGUCGAACGUGAAAUCCCCGGGCUCAACCCGGGAACUGCGUCCGAAACUGGCAGGCUUGAAUUCGGGAGAGGGAUGCGGAACUCCAGGUGUAGCGGUGAAAUGCGUAGAUAUCUGGAGGAACACCGGUGGCGAAGGCGGCAUCCUGGACCGGUAUUGACGCUGAGGCGCGAAAGCCAGGGGAGCGAACAGG
rnacentral:rRNA from 1 species